rnacentral:rRNA from 1 species
UACGUAGGGGGCAAGCGUUGUCCGGAUUUAUUGGGCGUAAAGAGCGUGUAGGCGGCCUGGUAGGUCAGCUGUGAAAACUCGAGGCUCAACCUCGAGAUGUCGGCGGAAACCAUCUGGCUAGAGUCCGGAAGAGGAGAGUGGAAUUCCUGGUGUAGCGGUGAAAUGCGCAGAUAUCAGGAAGAACACCCGUGGCGAAGGCGGCUCUCUGGGACGGUACUGACGCUGAGACGCGAAAGCGUGGGGAGCGAACAGG